rnacentral:pre_miRNA from 1 species
AAGAAGUGUGACAUUCCGUUCAUGUGAAUUACUCUGAUUAAAUAAAUAAAAUUUUUACGUUGGGAAAACGGGGUGUUACACUUCU